AUGAACUUAAUAAAUUGACAUAUGCUCUAACAAAAAUAUUAUUCUCGACGCGCGCAUAUAUGUAUUAUGUUGACUUCAUUUAAAAACGUACUUAUUUAUCAAUUGUUGAUAUAUAUUCUCGACUUGACAUCCUCGACUUGACAUUCUCAUAUCAGUCGAGGAACUUACUUUCACCCGUUGAAACCUUGGAAUAUUAAUGCUUCGUGACCUAUAUAUGACGACAAGAAUCUAUAUAUAUAAAAAAUUGUUGGUCUCACUCCUGCUUUGCCACGUGGAAAGUCGAUGUUUGAUAGGCCGACACGUGUCCCUCUCUUCGGGAUACUCUGCGUUUCAUUAAGUAACCAGCGACAUUUAUUGGGCUUAGUUGAGUUUGGUCUUUACGCUUUACUCAAGUGACCGAGCCCAAUAUUGAGUAACCUUUAUCUCCUCUACCGCGUCUGAUCGAAAUUUAGGGUUCUUCUAUUGGUGGAUUCGAUUACGCCGGUCGAGAUUCUUCUUCAUUAGUCGAAAAAAUGCUUCUGUUUCAUCCCAUUUAACCUCUUCUUAACUCGAACAACCACUAUAUAGCCAUCAAUGUGAAGUUCUGUCUUGCGAGUCUGGUUUUCCUCCUCUGAAAACCAUCACCUCAAUCCCUCAAAACCAACCAUUAAAUUUAUUUUCUGAGAACUGGCUAGCGCAUCAAUUUUCCUUUCUGAUUUGAAGACCGGACGAUGCUCCUCCACCGUUGAAUUGCGGUUGAUCCGUUUCUGGGAGGCCAGGAACGUCUUGAGGCGGUGGCGAACUCAGGGGAGUGGAUAAGCUCAUACUGGAUUCACAGGUUGUUAUGUAUCAUAGCUUGCGUUCAUAAUUUUAAUUUUUUUUCCGGCGUGUUAAAUCCGCCUUAUCAAGUUUUUCUAUUUAGAUAUUUGUUUGACGUUUUAUAAAUGAGGAAUAUUUAGUCCGUGCGUUGAUUGUUCUGUCAUAUUUUUUUAAUGUUUCUGUCAUGUUGAAUCCUUAUUACCAAGUUUACUGUUUACAUUUUUGUUUGACAUAUUUUGAAUAAGGCAAUUUAAAACCGUUUGUUGAUUGUUCUGUAUAUUCAUGUGGGUUUGAGGCAACCAUUGCUGCGACUUGCUUGCUUGGAAAGCCUGCAAUGAUAAUCAUGACAUACCAGAAGAUGUAGAUAUACCAUUGUAUAUCGAACCUUCAACUUGAUCACUUUUUGACGGUUGUAACAACUAUAAACGCAAGACGGGUCAAAGCAGAGAUUAUAUGCACACUCAUCAUGAAGUACCCAGAGAAUUGGUUGCCACUAAUCGAAGAUGAUUUGGAAAUAAUACGAGGUUACAGGUCAGGAAACAUUGAGUUGCAGUUCAGUGUUGAACGAGAGAGAACGGAGGAAAGAAGUUUAGGAUGUUAAGAACAAAAGUGAAUCAUAGAAAGCUUAGUAAGUGUGCUUCAUACACAACCUGGAACAGUACCAUGCCAGUUUCUGUUGAGCUAGGCUCGCAUAUUUCGAUGGUGACUAACGGCCAAGCGCAGCAGAGGAUCUUAUAUACCAAAUAAGUCAAUAAGAAGAUGGCACAAAGAGAAAAAAGAAAGUAAUGAUCAAGAAAACAAUUACCAAAAAGUCUCUAAAAGCUUCUGGACAUCUGAUUUAUCUGGGAAUGCUUCUAAGGAUCUGCUGCUAAUGCAUAAAGUAAUUUUUACUUUCUAUAAAAUAAUUUACAAUCUUUUAUGUUCGUUUGUUUUCCUUUUGCGACAACUGAGGACUUUUUUGCUGUCCACUUGCAAACUUCUUGCACAUAUUGUUGUACGGUGAUGGUAUCUUGAAUUGUUGUAUGCAGUCGGUGCAAAUACUGUCAGAUUUGUGAUAAGUGAGAGCUCCUCCUUUCUCU